GUUCAAGCGAUUCUCCCGCCUCACAACAUGCAAUGAAGUCAAGGAGCAUCUGUAGCUGCUUGGAUCUACAUUAACCUCAUUUAUCUAUACCCUACCUAUGUGAGUCUUGGAAACUUGUCUCAUAUAAACAAUGAGCUAGCCUAAAAAAGGGGACUUUGACAAUUGCUUCAUCGGUCUUUGUCACUCUGGAAAUAUCAGCAUCUGCAUGUUGAAAAAGGUCUCAUUAUAUUAGCUUUCCAUAAGCUGUCACCUGAUUAUAAGACCUCUUUUGCACCUUCCCAGAACUUUCCUGCUAUGUUUAUCUGAGUUUUGUGGUAACAUACGAGACUUACCUUUGAAUGUAUAAAACUGGCUAGUUUUACAUGAUCUGAACUUGAGAAGCGGUUUCUUAGGUUUCAAGACAACAUGCUAAAUACAUAGGACCAUCUACUGGCAAAGGAUGAUAUAGUCCUAAGGACUGGUUUUGUUGGAACUUGUAAUAGCCCAAGUUAAAGAUCAUGAAGAUUGUGAAGCCCAAAAGUGUAUUAUUGAGGGAAUCCUGCUGCCAGAAUAUGCUUAUCACUUAAAUUGCAACAGAGUGGUCUUAGAUAGAAAAUACAAGAGCUGAGAAGAUACUACAAAACAAGUAAGUCAUUUAUAUGGAGUCACAACAUCUAACUGGCAUACAUUUGUUUAAUAUUGAUAUAGUAAAAUAUUUCAUGAGGGCUCUGACAAGGACUGUCUUGUUAAUCUCUGAAUCCCUAGCAUAGCAACUGGUACAUGGAAGUGUCAACAAGUAUUUACUGAAUCAGUGAAUGAAUAAUGACAACCAGGGCCUCAAAACUUUUGAAAAUUUGCCUUAUAUUCUCCCUCUCCCAUAGGACCACACCCAUAAUUUAAAAUAAAAAAAAUACAAAGUGUAACAUAAGUUCCCUUUUUAGAUGAAAAGUGCAUCUAUCUGUUUGGUUAACCAGAAACCUUGAGUCAGUAAAAAUUAUACUUAAUAUUUACGUUAAAAAUAGUAAUAAUGAAAAAUGACCUAAACUAAUUAAAAGAAGGUUAUGUGGACUUGCAUAGGCUUUAUAAUCAAAUAUUGCUCAUGUCAAAUUUCAGCUCUAUAGUUUGGGUAUUGUAUGAGGUUGGAUUAAUUACUUAACCUUUCUCUCCUCAUUUUCCUCUUUUAUUAAAUUAGCAUUUUGUUUAUACCCUACAAAGAUUUGGUGAAGUCUGUAAAUGCAAUGAUUUGUGCCUACUUGGUAAGUACUAAUAAUAAAUCCAGCUGUUGACUUUUUGUCUGACUGAGGGCAUUCAUUUUCCUAAUUUUCAAUGGUCACAAGCAUCUUCGGACAGGGACCAAAUUUUAUUUAGUAAUAGAACUUAGCACAGUGCCUGGCA
rnacentral:lncRNA from 10 species